rnacentral:rRNA from 1 species
GUCGGUAAAACUCGUGCCAGCAACCGCGGUUACACGAGAGGCCCAAGUUGACAGACCCCUUCGGCAUCAAGUGUGGCUAGGGAAAAAAAGAAAUAAAGUCGAACGACCUCCUGGCUGUAAUACGCAUCCGAAAGUCUGAAGCCCCCCUACGAAAGUGACUUUAGUAAACCUGAACCCACGAAAGCUAAGAAACAAACUGGGAUUAGAUACCCCACUAUG